UCCUACGGGAGGCAGCAGUGGGGAAUAUUGGACAAUGGGCGCAAGCCUGAUCCAGCCAUACCGCGUGUGUGAAGAAGGCCUUCGGGUUGUAAAGCACUUUAAGUAAGGAAGAAAAGUAUAUUGUUAAUACCAAUGUACCGUGACAUUACUUACAGAAUAAGGACCGGCUAAUUCCGUGCCAGCAGCCGCGGUAAUACGGAAGGUCCAAGCGUUAAUCGGAAUUACUGGGCGUAAAGCGCGCGUAGGUGGUUUAUUAAGUUGGGUGUGAAAGCCCCGGGCUCAACCUGGGAACUGCAUCCAAAACUGAUUCACUAGAGUACGAAAGAGGGAGGUAGAAUUCACAGUGUAGCGGUGGAAUGCGUAGAUAUUGUGAAGAAUACCAAUGGCGAAGGCAGCCUCCUGGUUCUGUACUGACACUGAGGUGCGAAAGCGUGGGUAGCGAACAGGAUUAGAUACCCUGGUAGUCCACGCCGUAAACGAUGAAUGCCAGUCGUCGGAUAGUAUACUAUUCGGUGACACACCUAACGGAUUAAGCAUUCCGCCUGGGGAGUACGGCCGCAAGGCUGAAACUCAAAUGAAUUGACGGA
rnacentral:rRNA from 1 species